rnacentral:ncRNA from 1 species
GAUAACUGGCUUGUGGCGGCCAAGCGUUCAGAGCGACAUCGCUUUUUGAUCCUUCGAUGUCGGCUCUUCGUACCAUUGGAAAGCAGAAUUCGCUAAACGUUGGAUUGUUCUCCCACUAAUAGGGAACGGAAGCUUGUCUUAGGCCGUCGUGAGACAGGUU